ensembl:lncRNA
AUGUGGUUACGUUGGACCUACUUGGAUAAUCGAGGACAACACUCCUGCGUUAGUUCCCUAGAGCUGCUGCAAGAAACGAGCACGGAGUGCCAUGGGCUCCAAGGCCCAUCACUUUAUCCACUUGUAACUGAGCCCUGCUGCACCCGCAGGCUCGUGAAUGCAGGGGUCCAGGGUGGGCACCACAGCAGGAGCCCUGCCUCUGUGGCCUCCCACUGGCAGCAGGUGUCGACCUUUACCAGUGCAGCUCCUGCAGGGUGUCUCCCAUUGUGCAGUCAACCCAGGAGCACACAGACAACCUCCCAGGAGCUGCUGGCUCUGAGGUUCUGCAGAGGAGGGCAUCACAAUAACGGCAAGUGCAUGGCACUUGGCAGCAGUCAGUGGCGCUCUCUGAGCUCACUGCCCAAAGCAGGGCCCUUCUUUGCUGAUAGGAGUCUUUCCUUCCUUUUGCCCCAUCCCUGCAGAGAGAUGCUCCAGCCACUCCGGAAGUGCCCAAGUCCCUGUUCCACCACUGCCAUACACCCAGAGAAUUCCUUGCUGCCAACGAGUGACGUCCAAGGAGCUCCUGCUGCCAGAUCUGCACCCGUGUCAGUCAUCCGCCCCCCUAUGCCCAGAGAAUGUGUGGCUAAAGGACACAGACAGCAGGCCAACUUCGUCUUCUGCACUUGGGUAAGUGUGUGAGCGUCCUGGAUUGUCUCCUCUGUCUGGAAAAUAGCCAUGUACUCGUCCUACCUGCCAUUCCCGAGGGAAAGUCUUUGACGGAAUAUCUCACCACGCUGGGGUGACGGAUCGGAAGACAAAACUGUGCCCCUGACAACAUGGCCGUGGAUGGCCUCUCCAGCGGCUCACCACGCUGGCUUUGCUUGGAAAGUUAGAAUGAUGCUUCUCGGCGUCCUUCACCAGCGAUGGGAGCUAGCUGCAAGAUGAGUGAUGCUCCUUUGUUCUCCCGCGAGUGUGCGCUGCGGUCAGACAGCAAAGGCCCUUGUCGUGUGGACAACAGUGUUGGGCCGAGUCAGGACUUGUCCUUUUGCCCCUUCGUCGUCAUGGGGCUGCAAAGUCGGUGCCCACACCGUGCCCGCUCUGCCCACAGCCACGCACACAGGGCCCCAGAAGGACACGGUCUUUCCACCCUCUAUGCUGCGGGGGCAGAAAGCUCCCCAGGCAGCUCGUGGCCCAGCUUCAUGCACACGUUCUAAAGCGUAAGAUCAGGUGCAGGGGAACGUUCUGACUUCUGUCUCCGUGACAAACCUGCACAGCCGGGACAGGCCCCCUUUCUCCUGCAAUACUGAGUAACGGGGGGUUCACGGCACGAGCGUCAGCAAGGUCUGGGUCUCCUCUGCACCACGCACCCGAGCACGCAGUGAGCACGGGCUCCCUUUGUCCCUAAGAGGACGGUUCUGCGAAACAUUUUCCUAGGGGGUUUGUAGAUAUCGUAUCCCUCAUCCAGUGCCAUUUAAUGCAAUUUAAAAUAAAAUUAAAAAGUAUAAGACAUUUACUUGACUCUCACCCACUAAACGGGCACAUAUGCUUCUCCCUGGGAGAGGCUGCUCCGGCCCCCCAGGAAAGGACC